UUGCAGAGGAUGCUUCUGGCGCGGUGCCUUCCGAGUUCCCUGGAACGGGACGCCACAGAGGGUGAGAGCCCCGUAUGGUCGGACACCAAGCCUGUGUGAAGCUCCUUCGACGAGUCGAGUAGUUUGGGAAUGCUGCUCUAAAUGGGAGGUAAAUCUCUUCUAAAGCUAAAUACCGGCCAGAGACCGAUAGCGCACAAGUAGAGUGAUCGAAAGAUGAAAAGCACCUUGAAAAGGGGGUUAAAUAGUACGUGAAAUUGUUGAAAGGGAAGCACUUAUGACCAGACUUGGGCCGGGCGGCUCAUCAGGGGUUCUCCCCUGUGCACUCCGCCCGGCACAGGCCAGCAUCGGUUCUCGUGGGGGGAUAAGACCGUCAGGAACGUAGCACCCUCCGGGGUGUGUUAUAGCCUGGCGGACGAUACCCCCGUGGGGACCGAGGUCCGCGCUCCGCAAGGAUGCUGGCGUAAUGGUCAUCAGUGACCCGUCUU
rnacentral:rRNA from 1 species